rnacentral:sRNA from 12 species
ACCUUAUAUAAAUGUAGUAACGCAAGACAGUUGCACAUUUCCCUGUAAGGUGAUGUUUUAACAGAAGUAUAAGCAAUAAGUCUUAUUGUGUGGCUACGAGUCGAAAUAAGAUAGGUUUAUAUGGAAUAGGUUAACCGUAAGACCUUGAGUUGAAAAACUUUAAAAUUAAACUAGAAAUCAAAUUUUUAAUUUUUUUUUAUUUUCUAGUUACGGUUGC